UUGAUCAGUUUCCAUCUGUUAUUUCUUGUCCUGCCUUCAGGUGCUUUGGAGAAUAGCUUGACUCCCUCUUCUUUGGGGCAGCCCCUGAGAGCUUCUUUUCGACAAUCACGCUGCUUAGGAACCACCAUGACCACCCCGCCGCACCUCUCCAAACACUACUACCCUGGGAAGUUGCAGCAACCUCGAGAGAGCCCCCGGAGACCCCACAGCUGGUUUUUGCAAGAAAUUGUAGAACUUCCUGGUACAUUUGAUGAAUUUUUGGCCUGUUUCAAUUUGGAUGAUUGGCCCAAAACCCCAUACUUGCCAGACGUGAAUCCUUAUCCCUUGGUUUCCCAGAUAAAAAAUGACUAUCCUGCAGAUACUGUUGCCCGGUAUCUUUAUGAUAAUGCUCCAAUGCCCCAUGAAAUUAUUUCCAGGUUGGAAAAAAGAAUAGAUGAGUGCAAACUACAAGUCCAGGAGCACGCUAAGCACAUCUUUACAUUGGAAUCAGAAAAAUCAGAAAUGGAUGAGCAGCCAGGACAACUUGAUGUGACAUCAUCUCCUGAAUCCCAGGAUAUUUCAAAGAAGAAAACGAAAAUAGAAAUGAAGUUUCCUACGGAAGCCCCACAAGAGUCAAGAAAUAAAGAAUUGGAGAAUUUCAGUUUUCCUGAGUUCAAUUUGUGGAAACUUACAAAACUUCCAAAUAAUCUAGAACCUGCACAUAUGUGGGAUUCGGUCCUGAAAGUCCACAUUUUCAAGGGUGUGAAUACGAAAGUUUUGAAGCAGCUCUUUUUUUCUGAAGCAUCUCUUGCGAUUCUGCAGGAUUCUUUCUGGUGGUGGUUUCUUCAUAAGUUCCAGCCUGAUCAAGAGGAACAGGACCACUUCUUUGACAGAAUAUCAGAUAGCUACGUGACGCUUCUGUGGAGCAUCCCCAGUUACAUUAAAGAUGCUUUUCUUCAGAUGUAUCCUGACUGCUUGUCCCAAGCCAUCUACAUUACUUUCUGUGAAGCUUUUCCUCAGUCUUGCCAUCGUUUUGAUGAUCAGUUUAAAGACGAAUUAAUGGAUUUAAUUUUCCAGUGGAUCAGAGGUUUUAAACCACAAAAAUUUGCUUGGAAAAAUUGGAAGUGUCCGUCAACGGAAAAACCUAGAAAAUCCAUUGUAGAGAAGGACUCCUUUUCUGAGAUAUCAUCACAUAUGAAACCACAGCCUAGAAGAAGGACAACAUCAAGGUCGAGGUCAAGGUCAAGAUCCAGUUCAAGGUCAAGAAUAAAAACCUUGAGAUUUCAGGUGACUACGGAAGAACAAAUGCAGGAGCCAGCACAAGAAACAAAAGAGUCCCAUUACAUUGGAGAUGGUCCAGACUUUCAGCAUUCCCUUUUCAACCUUGGUGGUCAAAGUCCAUUGGUCUCCUAUUAUCUUCAGAUGCACGGAAUCCCUAACACUUUAGCAAACUCCCGGGGCUACAGGAUCAAUCAUAGUGAAAUCUGCAAAGUACCACCGCUUUCUCCAACUUACGUGGAUGUCAUUCAGAAGUGUAAAAAGACUUCGAAGAAACUGCUGGACCAUUUUGCUGAUUUUGGACACAAGUGUGACGCAGAACUGGUGGUGUUACAAGAAAAGAGAGAAAAAACGGACAGGAAGUUCAGAAGGAUGCUAGAAACCAUCACCACGAAGCCUACUGAGAAAAGGGUAAAAAUAGAACGGUUUCUCCUCCAAAGGGCAAAUGCCAAGAUACACCAUCAUGGGUCUUGCGGAUCAGAAUCAGGAGCCAAAGAUGUCUGACCUCAAGAUACGUGCUGUGAACGUUGAUGGAAUUUUUCCGUCCGCCAAAAUUAAGCACACUAAACUUUUGGAGUUCCCCUCCACAAAGGACCCAUGUGGGGGGCCUUCCUGUAUGGAAUGGUUUCUGGUGAAAACAGGAAUUGCCAGCCAGACCAACCGGAUGGUUUCUGUAUCUCAAAAGCAUAGAAGGAAUCGGAGAGUCAUCUUGAGAAGGAAAAACCAAAACUUCUUCUCUCUUCCCUGCGGAUUUUGGAGGCAAGUCCACAAAGGGGAGAAGCUAGGAGGAGAGGGCUGAAGCAAAAAGAAAGCUUGUGGGGAAAACGUAGCCUUCCUACCAUGCUCCUGUAACAAUUCCUGAUCUUGGCCAGAUGGCCUUUGGUCUCCACAAAAGCUCCUCAGAUAUUGGGCAAGACAGGCAGGUAGCAUGCAAAUGUUAUUUCCAGAACUUUCUGUUGUUCUCUCUAGAGACUUGGGUUAACCUGUGAAAGCACCUGUGAAAAAAUAGUUCCCUAAAAAGAACAGCCGCUCUGUGUCUUCAGCCCCAUUGCAAUAAGCAAUGAUAUGGGUCCUCACCUUAGCAAACUCUGCCCCAGUUUCUGUCUGUCUGUCUGUCUGUCUGUCUGUCUGUCUGCCUGCCUGCCUGCCUGCCUGUCAAUGUCUGUCUGUCUGUCUAUCUAUCUACCCACCUACUA